AUUGAACGCUGGCGGCAGGCUUAACACAUGCAAGUCGAACGAGUGGAGGCCGGGUGAGUAAUGCUUGGGACUCUGGCUUAUGGAGGGGGAUAACGACGGGAAACUGUCGCUAAUACCGCGUACCAUAGGAUGAGCCCACGUUGGCUUAGGUAGUUGGGGGGGUAACGGCCUACCAAGCUGACGAUCUCUAGCUGGUCUGAGAGGAUGACCAUCCAAACCGGGACUGAGAGAAGGCCCGGACUCCUACGGGAGGCAGCAGUGGGGAAUAUUGCGCAAUGGGGGCAACUCUGACGCAGCCAUGCCGCGUGAAUGAAGAAGGCCUUCGGGUUGUAAAGUUCUUUCGGUAUUGAGGCGUUACAUACAGAAGAAGCACCGGCUAACUCCGUGUCAGCAGCCGCGGUAAUAC
rnacentral:rRNA from 1 species